AUUGAACGCUGGCGGAAUGCUUUACACAUGCAAGUCGAACGGCAGCACGGACUUCGGUCUGGUGGCGCGUGGCGAACGGGUGAGUUAUGUAUCGGAACGACCCCAGUCGUGGGGGAUAACGAAGUGAAACUUACGCUAAUACCGCAUACGAUCUAUGGCUGAAAGCGGGGGAUCGCAAGACCUCGCGCGAUUGGCGCGGCCGAUAUCAGAUUAGGUAGUUGGUGGGGUAAAGGCCCACCAAGCCAACGAUCUGUAGCUGGUCUGAGAGGACGACCAGCCACACUGGAACUGAGAAACGGUCCAGACUCCUACGGGAGGCAGCAGUGGGGAAUUUUGGACAAUGGGCGAAAGCCUGAUCCAGCCAUUCCGCGUGCAGGAUGAAGGCCCUCGGGUUGUAAACUGCUUUUGUACAGAACGAAAAGGUUUCUACUAAUACUAGGAGCUCAUGACGGUACUGUAAGAAUAAGCACCGGCUAACUACGUGCCAGCCGCCGCUGUAA
rnacentral:rRNA from 1 species